AUGUUUGAACCACUCAAAGUUGGAUUGGUAUUUCAGCCCCGCAAAUUGGAAUUUCCAUACAGGGAGAUUGGGAAGAAGAAGAAGAGGAGGAGAUUCAAUCCGGAUUGGUAUGAUGAUUAUGCUUAUUGGCUGGAGUAUAGCGAGAAGGAGCACAAAGCAUAUUGCUUAUGCUGCUAUUUAUUUAGGGACAACAUUAAAGACAACCACCAUGGGCAUGAUGCAUUUGUAGUAGAAGGAUUCAACUCUUGGAACAAGACAGGGAGAUUUGUGACUCACAUUGGUGAUCGUAAUAGCUUUCACAAUAGAGCACUCAAGGAUUGCGGGGAUCUAUUAAAGCAAGAUCAAUCAAUCCCAGCAGCCUUUCAUAGACAAACCCAAAUUGAGAAAAAUGAGCAUCUCAUCAGGUUAAAUGCUGCAAUUGAUGUUUGUCGAUACUUGUUGCAUCAGGGACAACCUUUCCGUGGCCAUGAUGAAUCAAAAGAUUCUGAAAAUAAACGAAACUACCUUGAGUUGAUGGACUACACUAUUAAGCAGAAUGAUGUUGUUGCUAAGGCAUUCAAGAAUGCUCCAAAUAAUAAUCAAAUGUUGUCUCCCACAAUUCAGAGAGAUAUUACCGAAAAUUGUAAUGAUGUGUUCAGCUUAUUAGUUGAUGAGUUUAGAGAUGUUUCCGACAAAGAACAAAUGGCGGUUGUUCUCCGAUAUCUUGAUAAGUGUGGACUGGUCCAAGAGAAGUUUGUUGGUGUUGUUCAUGUGGAGGAGACAACAGCUUCUUAUCUCAAGUCUUGCAUAGAUUUAUUAUUUUCACAACUUGGGCUGAGUCUUCAACAAGUUAGAGGCCAAGGUUACGACGGUGCAAGUAAUAUGUCCGGUGAGUUUAAUGGUUUGCAAGCUAAAAUUAUGAGCGAGAAUAAAUCAGCAUAUUAUGUACAUUGUUUUGCUCAUAAACUCAACUUGGUUGUUGUGGCUAUUGCAAAGAAGAUAUUCGAGGUCGGAGAUUUCUUUGAUAUGGUUUCAGUUUUGCUAAAUGUCGUGGGCGCAUCUUGCAAGAGAAAAGACCAACUUCGUGAGCAUCACCAAGAAGAAGUGAGGAAAGCAAUAGGAUGUGGAGAGAUUAUGUUCUCGUUGGUGGUUAAAGUACUAGAAUAUGUUGAGAAAGAUGGCACAGAUACUGGAAAGAGGCGUCAAGCUAGAGCUUUAACAAAUGGGCUGUCAAAAACCUUACAGAGAAAGAAUAAAGACAUUGUAAAUGCUAUUUCAGAUGUGGAAUCAACUAAACGAGAGUUAGAAAAGCUCAGAACCAAUGAGGGGUGGGAUUCUCUUAUGAAGAAGGUAUAUCUGUUAGGAGAAGAGUUUAAUGACAGAUUUAAUGAGGUAAAUUCUGAGUUGCUUCUAUGCAUGUCUGCUUUGAGCCCAAGUGAUUUAUUUUGUCAUUUUGACAAGGAGAAGUUGCUGAAAUUAGCAAAGUUUUAUCUUGGUGACUUUAAUCACAAAGAUAUGGUGACUCUUGAGCAUGAACUUGGCCUCUAUAUAGAUAAUAUACUCCAUGAUACAAGGUUUUCCAGCUUGGACAGAAUAAGUGAUUUUGCUAAACUGAUGGUGGAUACAAGGAAGCAUCUCUCAUAUCCUUUGGUAUAUUGGCUUUUGAAGCUAGCUCUAACUCUCCCUGUUGCCACUGCCACCGUUGAGAGAUGUUUUUCAGCGAUGAAGAUUGUGAAGAAUGCUUUGCGUAACAAAAUUGGUGAUGAUUUUUUGAGCCAUAGCCUAAUUUGCUUCGUGGAGAAGGAGCUGCUGGACACAAUUAGUAAUGAAGUUAUUGUUGACCGUUUCCAUAAGAUGAAAGAUCGUCGUGGGAGAAAUGAAAUGUAA
rnacentral:rRNA from 1 species